CCUUUAUCAGAACAGUUCUACUUUCUCAGAGACUCUUCUCUCUCUCUCUCUUAACCUCACCUGGCUUCUCUUGCUUCUCUCUUUCCACUUUGCAAACCCUAGAAUCUCCGAUCCGUUCUACGGCGAUCUCAAUACCCUCCCCUUUGUCUCGAUCGCUGAUUAUUUCAUUGCGUUACAGGUUGUGGUGAUCUCUGACGAAGGCGGAGGGGUUGCGGUCUUCGUUAUCUGAUCACAGAGGAUUUUGAAGAAGUUCCUGUUCAAAGCCAUGGGUUUGGUAUUCUUGAUGUUGGAAAUCGCUCACCAGAUGAAGCAUGGGCUGCUGGAGGGAGUGGUAUUUUGCUGAGAACGAUGAAUGGUGGCAAGUCAUGGACUCGUGAUAAAGCUGCAGACAAUAUAGCUACAAAUCUCUAGGGUUUCUACAGUCACUGGCGCUGCCGAUCGAUUCAAGAGCUCUUGGAGAUCCUCCAUCGCGGUUGAGGACAUCCAAAUAGAGUGGAAUAUCAUGUACCUGAUGCUUCUAGUGCUCAACAAACGCCGCGUGGGAAUAAUCAUUCUCAUGAAUCAAGUCAUCAAGUAAAUCCAAAUGCAUCAAGUGAUGCUGUUUAGAAGAUGACAUCGGUUCUACUUGAGAAAAUUCUUGUUGCUUUAUUGAGUUGUUAGACAUGAAAUGAAAGUAGUUUAUUUUUGUGUUAGAUUUGAAAUUGAGGGAAGAACUCUUGGUUGUCAAGAUUGAAUGGUGGUUUAUUUUUGGACAUAUACCUUACAAAUAUAUGUUUGUGGUGAUGUAAUAGUUUUUCUUUUUUA